rnacentral:rRNA from 1 species
AGCAGUCGCCACGGGAAGACAGAGGAUGCAAGCGUUAUCCGGAAUGAUUGGGCGUAAAGCGUCUGUAGGUGGCUUUUCAAGUCCGCCGUCAAAUCCCAGGGCUCAACCCUGGACAGGCGGUGGAAACUACCAAGCUGGAGUACGGUAGGGGCAGAGGGAAUUUCCGGUGGAGCGGCGAAAUGCGUUGAGAUCGGAAAGAACACCAACGGCGAAAGCACUUUGCUGGGCCGACACUGACACUGAGAGACGAAAGCUAGGGGAGCAAAUGGGAUUAGAUACCCGCGUAGUCCCUGUCUCUUAUAC